GACCAAAAAGGUGUUAGCAGUUGUCAACUGGAGUAGGGCCAAUGAAACUUCAGCAGUAAGCCGUGAGGUCCCUAUGACAAAAGAGCUGCUGACUUAUCUCUCUGAGACACAAGGUAUGAUAAAUUUGCAUCCUCAAUAAUAUCAUAUCACAUAUGUAAUACAAAUAUGGAGAUCAGAAGUAUCUUUUAUAAUGCAGCUAAAGUAAUUCUUUUUCAGGGUUCCAUGUUGCAGAGGUGGCAUAUGACUUUGUAUUACAGCUAAAAACAUGGAUCUUGUCAAAAGGAAUGCUUAAUUCCUUUGACUCUUGGCAUGGUGCAAAGUCUGUGACUAAAGCAAUGAAGGAAGUUGCCUCAGGGGCCCAGAGGGAUGAGGGCUCAAAGUGGUUUUUUGAAUUGUUCGACAAAGUGAAAAGUACAAGGACUCUUGUGUACUUCUGCAUGAAGAACAGUCCACCCAAUGAAGAAGAAUUUCAGGGUACACUGUUGAAUGUAGUUGACCAUUACCAGGUAAUUUGAGUGACUGUUUAUUGAGAACAUAGUAUUUUGUUUUCAUUUCUGUAAGUACCUUUUGUUGUGUUA